UAAUGAGAGAGACCAGAGCCCUGGCCCAUCGCAACCUUCCCCUUUUCGGUCCCCGCUUAGAAAAACUACAUAAUUCCAACCCUUGGAACUAGUUGGAACAUGUGCAACAUGCAUCACAUUAAGUGGUCCAUCAAGUAGCUACUGAGCUGGAGUUGAGAGGGCUCUGACCCACAGCAGAUAUCAUGCCUGUUCUUUUGUGAAAAUUAUUAGAAGCAUAUGCUAGAUCAUUGGUUUUGGAACAAAGAUGUAGUUCCCAUGUC
rnacentral:lncRNA from 1 species